rnacentral:hammerhead_ribozyme from 1 species
AUCCAGCCGCGGAGUCUCAAGUAAGACGAAACGCGCGUCCCGGAU